rnacentral:rRNA from 1 species
UGGGGAAUUUUGGACAAUGGACGCAAGUCUGAUCCAGCCAUGCCGCGUGCGGGAAGAAGGCCUUCGGGUUGUAAACUGCUUUUGUACGGAGCGAAAAGGUCUGCCCUAAUACGGUGGGCUCAUGACGGUACCGUAAGAAUAAGCACCGGCUAACUGCGUGCCAGCAGCCGCGGUAAUACGUAGGGUGCGAGCGUUAAUCGGAAUUACUGGGCGUAAAGCGUGCGCAGGCGGUUAUGUAAGACAGAUGUGAAAUCCCCGGGCUAAACCUGGGAACGGCGUUUGUGACUGCAUAACUAGAGUACGGCAGAGGGAGGUGGAAUUCCGCGUGUAGCAGUGAAAUGCGUAGAUAUGCGGAGGAACACCGAUGGCGAAGGCAGCCUCCUGGGCCAGUACUGACGCUCAUGCACGAAAGCGUGGGGAGCAAACA